rnacentral:rRNA from 1 species
UACGUAGGUGACAAGCGUUGUCCGGAUUUACUGGGCGUAAAGAGCGCGCAGGCGGUCGUUCAAGUCGAGUGUGAAAGCCCCCGGCUCAACUGGGGAGGGUCAUUCGAUACUGAUCGACUCGAAGGCAGGAGAGGGUAGUGGAAUUCCCGGUGUAGUGGUGAAAUGCGUAGAUAUCGGGAGGAACACCAGUGGCGAAGGCGGCUUCCUGGCCUGUUCUUGACGCUGAGGCGCGAAAGCUAGGGGAGCAAACGGG